GUGACAUAAUGAGGCUAUGUCUCAAAUAAAUAAAUAAAUAAAUAAAAUAAAGCACUUACAGUGUGAUGGAAGAAACUCACUAAAGCAGUCAUUUUAUAAAGCAUUAUUCAACAUUCUGUGAGGUAAAGAAUAAGUACCAAAGGUCUGAGACUAGUUUUGGAUUAGGAAAAUUUUUACAGAUGAGAAAACAGAAGCUAAUAGUGGUUUGUAAUUUUAUAUGUGGUCUUGCUGUUAGUAACUUCAUAUUUUGAACCCAGGUUGGCCUGACUCCAUAAUCUUUGAUUUCUCUACUAUGCCAUUAUUUCUCUGAGUCACCAACCUCACAGCCUUAUUGUGUUCCCUAUUGUUAUCUUCCUUGUUAAUUUUCUUGGAGCCAGUGAUUAGAUUCUUUUCUUAAAGUAAUAGUGACAUUUCUUUAAAGCAAAUAAAAAACCUCCAGGUUGUAUUUUUUUUGUAUAUUUUAGAACCCCAGGGAUCCUAGAAGCUUUUUCAGGAAAAGGAAUCUUGUGCAUUCUGGGCCUAACCUAAAAUUUCAGUGCUAUUCGUGGCCUCUCAUUUAAAAAUAGCCUCAUGUUGCUCUUAGGGCACAUGAGUAAUGCCAAUGUUUCCGACAGCCUCCACUCCCUACCCCCAAGAUACUCAGGAUAAACAAAGAUCUGAGUAAUAAACAGCAUGCUUCUGCUACUGCCUCUACCUACUCCCACAAACCACCCUUGUAUAGAAAUCCUGGAGUCAUUACUGAUGAUGCAUUUUAUUAGAAGAAUACGAAUAAGAAGAGUUCCAUUGCUUUAAAAGUUUGAAAAACACCACCUUAGUUGGUGUGAUGAUCCGGGGAAAUACUUCUGAAAUGAAAAGGUUUUUUUGAGCCUUCAUAUCUGCUCAUCGCCUAAUACCUUCAGUGACUUUGUAAAUUGGAGAGGGAUUCUUGAUAUUGUUGAAGUUUGUGGAGAUAGCAUGGACUGGUACACUGAAGCCCAGGACUUGAAAUCUGAAAAAAAUGUAUACUUUUAUAUGUACAGGUAAUUUUAUGAUAAAGAAAAUAAGUGAAUUUAGCUAAAUGUCAUUGUUUUAUGUAUUGAGAUGUUUUCUUAUGAAUACCUAGUUAAAUCUUGUUGUCAGAGUAACUAACUGAUUAUUUUUCCCUUUUGAAUCUUUCUGAUAAUCUGUUAACCUGUUCUAGCCCUCUUAAAAGCACUACAUACAUUUGAGGAGUGCUCUUUCAGGCUUUAUUCUACUUUAAGUACCUAACAAGUUGUGCUUUUCACAAUUUAGGAAUUUGUGAAAUCUGUUGUAAUUUAUAGUUCUAGGUAGAUGGAAGGUGAUGCUUUAUUCUGUUUGUUGUAACUUACUGUAUUUCCACAUUUUCAGUGGGCUUCACUUGGUAGAACCUGACGUAUUUGAAAUGCCAAAUAAUAAACUGAUUUCCUCCACUGUCCUUCUCUGUCUUCAGUUUCAUGUGAAAUACUAACUGAAAUACAUCUUGGUCUUAUAAAUUUAUCUCUGAUUUAAAAGCAACAAGAGAAACAUAUUUUAGGGGCUCCUGCUAAAAUACUUUGUCAUUGUUGGUCUACUGUUCUUUCCUUUCAAGUUGCCUAAACACAGCUGAGUUCAUAAGAGGAGCAAAGAAAACAUAACAGUGCUGCCAAGUAGACAGGAAGCUGUAGUGGACCUAGCAAGCGGGGGAGGUUGAGCACACCCUCCAUCCAAUCAGCUGUGAGUGCUGUUGCUAUGUGCACUCUUACUCUGCUGCCUUUGUGAAAACCUUGCACGGAGGGAAGUGCAAUCAGCACCCAACGCUGAACAUUUGUUUUAACCGCUGCAGACAUCUGGAUCCUUCAGUUACUGACAGUAUAGCUAUUGACAGCCAGAAGGCAACUUCUUUUAUCCAAGGGUUCCAGUAUGGUUUUCAGUGGAAACAAAGAGCUUCACAAAGAAGAUACUCUCGAUGAAUAUUUUGAAUAUGAUGCAGAGGAGUUUUUGGUCUCUUUGGCCUUGCUAAUAACAGAAGGACGAACACCUGAAUGUUCUAUAAAAGGUCGAACCGAAAGUUUCCAUUGCCCUCCAGCACAGUCUUGUUACCCAGUAACUACCAAACAUGAAUGUAAUGAUAAGCUGGCCCAGUGUCGCCAAGCCAGACGAACCAGGUCUGAGGUCACGUUGUUGUGGAAGAAUAACCUUCCUAUCAUGGUGGAGGUGAUGCUACUACCAGACUGCUGCUAUAGUGAUGAUGGGCUCACCACAGAUGGAAUUGAUCUAAAUGAUCCUGCAAUUAAUCAAGAUGCAUUAUUAUUAGAAAGAUGGACCUUGGAGCCAGUUCCUCGACAGAAUGGUGAUCGAUUUAUUGAAGAGAAGACUCUUCUGUUGGCUGUCCGCUCAUUUGUGUUUUUUUCUCAGUUAAGUGCUUGGCUGAGUGUCUCUCAUGGUGCUAUUCCACGAAAUAUUCUCUACAGAAUCAGUGCUGCUGAUGUCGACCUACGGUGGAAUUUUUCACAAACUCCAAUUGAGCACGUCUUUCCUGUUCCCAAUGUUUCUCACAACGUGGCCUUGAAAGUCAGCGUCCAGUCCUUGCCCAGACAAUCUAAUUACCCAAUUUUGACCUGUAGUAUUCACACUAAUAUUGGCCUUUAUGAGAAAAAAAUUCAAGAACAUGAACAUCAAACCCCUCAGGACCUCAAUUCUAAUGAAGAAGAACAAUGUAGUACCAACAGUUCACAGCAUCUGUGUAGCAAACAAGCUUGGACCAUGACACCUGAAAGUGUAUUACGUGCAAAAAAUGGCACAACUACAGAAUAUACUACAGCCAUCAAAAAUGUCAAACUUUAUGCGGGCACUGGCAGUAAAUCUGAAUAUGGAACAUCUCAAGCCAAUAUUCUGAGCUUUAAUAGUGUAGGAGAUACAAAGUCACACGAAACAUCAUCAAGAACUUUAAAAUCAUUUUCAAUGAUUGAUUCCAGUGUUUCUAAUCGCCAGACUUCCUGGCAGUCAGUUGGUGAGGCUAACCCUUUAAUAGGUUCUUUAAUUCAGGACCGACAGGAAGUUAUUGCAAGAAUCGCCCAACAUUUGAUUCAUUGUGAUCCAAGCACUUCACAUGUUUCUGGACAUCCAUAUAAUACUCAAGAGUCUAGUUCACUUCAUUCAAAACUUUUCCGGGUUUUGCCAGAAAAUGAAAAUGUGAGAAAAUGUAAAGAAACAUUCUCCAUUUCUUUUGGUAGUCCAGACAUCACUUCCCAGGAAGACAUCAAUGAGGGAAAAAUUCGACUAAAAACAGAAACUCCUCGAAGUGAAACUUGUGUUUCUAAUGGUCUUUAUUCUUAUCAGUCUGUUGGAGAGACUAAUCCUUUGAUAGGUUCCUUACUCCAGGAACGGCAAGAUGUUAUUGCAAGGAUUGCUCAACACUUGGAACACAUUGAUCCAACAGCAUCAUAUGUCCCCCGGCAGUCAUUCAACAUGUGUGAUACCACUUCAGCCCCUUCUAAAGUGUUUAGGAGUUCAUAUGAAGACAAAAAUUUGUUGAAGAAAAAUAAGGGUGAUUCUCCUGUUCCCAUUUCUCAUGCAAAAUUUUCUUUGUUAGGAGACCGCACUGGGGAAAACUUAAUACCUAACAAAUCUUUUAGUUCAUUUAAAUGUAGUUGUAAAGAAAAAUGUUCUUUGAGACCUCAAAUAAGAAAUCAUUGUCAGAACAAUCCUAGCGAAAUCAGCCAAAGUACAUAUCAGGAGACACAGAACAAAGCUACUAGUUUAUUGACUUCUUUAAAUGUGUCUCAUUGCAAAGAAAAUAAUGGAGAUUCGACAAGCAGAUUUAAGGAACAAGAAAUUAGCAAUGGAGUUGAUAAACAGUAUUCUAAUUGUAAUAGUAUUGACAAACAGAUUUGCACAAAUAAGUGUAAGGAAAAAAUAAUAAAAAAUGAGAAUUGUAACCCAGAAUUCUUUGACAAUCUCCAAUUUGAUAAUUCAAAAAAAAUUGACUCAAAAAUGAAAGUUACUUUGUCGGAGAUAUCUGAAUAUUUGAACAAAUGUGAAAAUAACUACUCAAAUAAAGAUUCAAAAAAGCCUAAGACAUGUGAGCAAAAUACUCAACUUAACAGCAUAGAAAACUAUCUCAAUAAAGGUAAUGAAGCUUUCAAAUGCAAAAAGCCAACACAAUUAAAAAGUGAUGAACAGGAUAAGAAAGAAGAUCCAACUGGUGAAAAAUCUCAAAACACUUCUCAGAGAAGAAAUAUAAAAGACUGUUUGUCUGCAUGUGAACAUCUAAAAACUACAGAGGUGUUGAGGACUACACUGAAACAUUCAAAUGUCUGGCGAAAACAUAAUUUUCACUCGUUGCAUGGAACCUCAACCAGAGCCUUUCAUCCUCAAACUGGAUUGCCACUUCUUUCAAGUCCCGUUCCUCACAGAAAAACACAAUCAGGUUGCUUUGAUCUGGAUUCUUCGUUACUGCAUCUGAAAAGCUUAUCAUCCAGAAGUCCUCGACCAUGUUUAAACAUUGAAGAUGAUCCAGAUAUUCAUGAAAAACCAUUUUUGAGUUCUAGUGCUCCACCCGUAACAAGUCUUAGUCUUCUAGGAAAUUUUGAGGAAUCUGUCUUGAACUAUCGUUUAGAUCCUCUCGGCAUUGUUGAUGGUUUCACUGCUGAGGUAGGGGCAAGUGGUGUUUUUUGCCCCACUCAUUUGACUCUUCCAGUUGAAGUGUCAUUCUACAGUGUUUCAGAUGAUAAUGCUCCCUCUCCCUAUAUGGGUGUGAUUACUUUAGAGUCCCUUGGUAAAAGGGGUUAUCGAGUACCUCCUUCAGGAACAAUACAAGUGGUAUGUGUUUUAUAGCCUACAAUUGCAAUAAUCAUUCUCUCACAUACAUAUAGAACUUAGCCCUUUCUCCUGCUACUGCUGCUGCAACAACUUUGACCUUAUUUAAUCCAAAUAAGACUGUGGUGAAGAUGUUUGUUGUGAUAUAUGACUUACGAGAUAUGCCAGCCAAUCACCAGACAUUCCUACGACAAAGAACUUUUUCUGUACCUGUU